rnacentral:rRNA from 1 species
CUGGCGGCGUGGCUUAACACAUGCAAGUCGAGCGAGAAGCUCAUGACCAAUUCUUCGGAGGCGUGAUUGAGUGGAAAGCGGCGGACGGGUGAGUAACGCGUAGGCAACCUGCCCCAUACAAAGGGAUAGCUACUGGAAACGGUAAUUAAUACCUCAUAACACGGAGAGACCGCAUGAUCUUUCCGUCAAAGAUUUAUCGGUAUGGGAUGGGCCUGCGUCUGAUUAGCUGGUUGGUGGGGUAACGGCCCACCAAGGCGACGAUCAGUAGCCGACCUGAGAGGGUAAACGGCCACAUUGGAACUGAGACACGGUCCAAACUCCUACGGGAGGCAGCAGUGGGGAAUAUUGCACAAUGGGGGGAACCCUGAUUGCAGCAACGCCGCGUGAGCGAAGAAGGCCUUUGGGUCGUAAAGCUCUGUCCUGAAGGAAGAAGGAAGUGACGGUACUUCAGGAGGAAGCCCCGGCUAACUACGUGCCAGCCGCCGC